UACGUAGGUGGCAAGCGUUAUCCGGAAUUAUUGGGCGUAAAGCGCGCGCAGGCGGUUUCUUAAGUCUGAUGUGAAAGCCCACGGCUCAACCGUGGAGGGUCAUUGGAAACUGGGGAACUUGAGUGCAGAAGAGAAAAGCGGAAUUCCACGUGUAGCGGUGAAAUGCGUAGAGAUGUGGAGGAACACCAGUGGCGAAGGCGGCUUUUUGGUCUGUAACUGACGCUGAGGCACGAAAGCGUGGGGAUCAAACAGG
rnacentral:rRNA from 1 species